GCAAUCUUGAGGAGUUAAUCCCCACAUUUGAAGCACAGGAGCGAACCUUUCCUCGUUUUUAGGUCAAUUUGAAUACAAUUCAGAGGGGUGGCAUGGGGGCGCAGUGGGUAGUGCUGUCGCCUCACAGCAAGAUGGUCGCUUGUUUGAGCCUUGGAUGGGUUUCCCCUCCACAGUCCAAUGACAUGCGGUGUAGCUGAAUUGGGCAAACCUGUUGUUGCAUUGUCAUCUUCACUCGGGCCAAAAAAUUGCAGCAUGGUGCCAGGGUCAGUGGUUAACUAAUGCCAACACUGGCUGAUAGCUUGGUGUGUUAUGGCCUUAAUUGCUUCUAAAGAUUGGGACCAAUAUUGCUGAGUAUCUUCAUCCAUUGAAUUCAAGAAUCUAUUGAGUUUCCUCAUGUUCUCGUCCUUGGAGACCACCACUUCUUUCAAGCCUUUGCUCACGUGCUGUGCUAUUUAUUAUUGCAAAGUACAUUACUUGCCAAAGUGGACGUUUGCUAUAAAGCAUUCUACAUCUUUGGUGUGAACUACCCCAAGCAGUGUUCCCUGGUGUGGCAGACUGUGGUUUAUGGACAUCCUGGGGAGGAGACACUAGCAGUAAGGGUUCUGCUAGCAUUAAUUUUUGCUGACAAACAGUAAUCAUUAAUACUGUGACCUCACUGCUUUCUUGGAUUCUGUGUUCUUUAACUUGUACUUUGGAUUGUGGGGGAAAAGGAGCACCCAGAGAAAACCCACACGAACACGGGGAAAACAUGCAAACUCCACACA